rnacentral:ncRNA from 1 species
AGUCCCGAAAAUGGAUGGCGCUUAACCUAGAACCCACAAAGGGUGUUGGUCGAUUAAGACUCACCUGCCGAAUCAACUAGUCCCGAAAAUGGAUGGCGCUUAAGCACGCGACCUACACCCGGCCGUCGAGGCAAGUACCAGGCCCCGAUG